rnacentral:lncRNA from 1 species
UGGGGCUCUGGGGUCUGCCCAGCCAGUUUCUAGCGUGCCUUCCACGGGAGCAGAGGGAGGCUGAGCGGCACAGGAGCGGGCCAACACCAACCUCCUACGAGAAUUCGUGGCAGCUUCUUCUAUAAAGCUUGGCCCCCGCAUCCUUCUCUACCUCUUCUCUCCAGAAGCGGCCAGAGACCACAUCUUUCCAGCCCUGGUGUAUCCCCUGAGAUCUGGACUUGUAGAUCUGGCAGCCUCACUGAUCUCACCACUCAGGUAUCCAGCGAACAUUUCAAUGAUUAAAAUGUCCAAAUACAAUGCUCAACCCCUCUGC